UACGUAGGGUGCAAGCGUUGUCCGGAAUUAUUGGGCGUAAAGAGCUCGUAGGCGGUCUGUCGCGUCGGCUGUGAAAACCCGUGGCUCAACCCCGGGCCUGCAGUCGAUACGGGCAGACUAGAGUGCGGUAGGGGAGACUGGAAUUCCUGGUGUAGCGGUGAAAUGCGCAGAUAUCAGGAGGAACACCGGUGGCGAAGGCGGGUCUCUGGGCAACAACUGACGCUGAGGAGCGAAAGCGUGGGGAGCGAACAGG
rnacentral:rRNA from 1 species